rnacentral:lncRNA from 1 species
AUUUAGUAAUAAUGCGGAUGACCCGGUUUAAUCCCACGACCCAGUAUUAUUAAUCCAGAUUUCUUAGGAUUAAUAAUACCACCUCCCCCCUAGGAUUAACUUAAACUAGGAUAUUCUGUAUUUAGCCAUGAUAGCAAACACCAACUCAGUAUUAAUAAUCUGUCAUUAUCCACGCUAAAUAUCCUGGUUACAAAUUAUCCUACAUAAUCCUUUACUGAAAA